AGAGCCUGGCCAUAGUAGUCGUACGGGAGCCUCUUGAGCAGGGGGAAAUUCCCGUGGCCUCUGUGUCGGCGACUCCCGUUGUGGAGUCGGCGACUCAGGCAGGUCCUGUCAAAGGGAAAUCCUUCAAGCGAAGGGGGAAGGCUUCAGCUGCCAUUGGGUCGGCGACUGCCAGCCAUGCAUCACCGAUUCCUCUUACGGGAUCGGCG
rnacentral:lncRNA from 1 species